rnacentral:rRNA from 1 species
AUUGAACGCUGGCGGCAUGCUUUACACAUGCAAGUCGAACGGCAGCGCGGGCUUCGGCCUGGCGGCGAGUGGCGAACGGGUGAGUAAUGCAUCGGAACGUGCCCAGUAGUGGGGGAUAGCCCGGCGAAAGCCGGAUUAAUACCGCAUACGACCUGAGGGUGAAAGCGGGGGGCCGAAAGGCCUCGCGCUAUUGGAGCGGCCGAUGUCGGAUUAGCUAGUUGGUGGGGUAAAGGCUUGCCAAGGCGACGAUCCGUAGCUGGUCUGAGAGGACGACCAGCCACACUGGGACUGAGACACGGCCCAGACUCCUACGGGAGGCAGCAGUGGGGAAUUUUGGACAAUGGGGGCAACCCUGAUCCAGCCAUGCCGCGUGCGGGAAGAAGGCCUUCGGGUUGUAAACCGCUUUUGUUCGGGAAGAAAUCCUCUGGGCUAAUACCCCGGGGGGAUGACGGUACCGGAAGAAUAAGCACCGGCUAACUACGUG